rnacentral:rRNA from 1 species
GGGCUCACACAAGCGGUGGAGGAUGUGGCUUAAUUCGAGGCUACGCGAAGAACCUUAUCCUAGUCUUGACAUUCUUGAGAAUACCUCUGAAAGGAGGUAGUGCCUUCGGGAGCUCUUGAACAGGUGCUGCAUGGCUGUCGUCAGCUCGUGUCGUGAGAUGUCGGGUUAAGUCCCUUAACGAGCGAAACCCUUGUCUCUAGUUGCCAGCGUGUAAUGGCGGGGACUCUAGAGAGACUGCCGGUGUUAAACCGGAGGAAGGUGGGGAUGACGUCAAGUCCUCAUGGCCUUUAUGACUAGGGCUGCACACGUCCUACAAUGCGGCAUACAAAGGGAAGCAAACCCGUGAGGGGGAGCAAA